rnacentral:rRNA from 1 species
CUAGGUGCCAGCAGCCGCGGUAAUUCCAGCUCCAAUAGCGUAUNUUAAAGUUGUUGCAGUUAAAAAGCUCGUAGUUGAAUUUCGGGAUCAAUACGUCGGUCGUGCCUUCGGUACGCACUGGGGUCGUUUGAUUCCUCCCUUCUGAUGAACCAUGAUGUCAUUAAUUUGGUNUCGUGGGAGUCAGGACUGUUACUUUGAAAAAAUUAGAGUGUUUAAAGCAGGCUAGCGCCUGAAUACAUUAGCAUGGAAUAAUGAAAUAGGACGUUCGACCUAAAUUUUGUUGGUUUCUAGGAUUAACGUAAUGAUUAAUAGGGAUAGUUGGGGGCAUUAGUAUUCAAUUGUCAGAGGUGAAAUUCUUGGAUUUAUUGAAGACUGACUACUGCGAAAGCAUUUGCCAAGGAUGUUUUCAUUAAUCAAGAACGAAAGUUAGGGGAUCGAAGACGAUCAGAUACCGUCGUAGUCUUAACCAUAAACUAUGCCGACUAGGGAUCGGAUGAUGUUAUUUUUAAUACUCAUUCGGCGCCUUACG